UAAAAGAUAAGCUAAUAUUAAGCUAAUGGGCUCAUACCCCAAUAAUGAAAGUAAACUCUUUCUCUUUUUA
rnacentral:tRNA from 1 species